rnacentral:rRNA from 1 species
AUACGUAGGUGACAAGCGUUAUCCGGAUUUACUGGGCGUAAAGGGCGUGUAGGCGGUCUUGCAAGUCAGAAGUGAAAUUCCUGAGCUCAACUCGGGCGCUGCUUCUGAAACUGCAGGACUUGAGUGCUGGAGGGGAUAGCGGAAUUCCUAGUGGAGCGGUAAAAUGCGCAGAUAUUAGGAAGAACACCGGUGGCGAAGGCGGCUAAUUGGGCAGUAACUGACGCUGAGGCGAGAAAGCGUGGGGAGGAAAAAGGAUUAUAUACACGGGUAGUCCACGCCGUAAACGAUGAAUACUAGGUGUAGGGGGUAUCGACUCCCUCUGUGCCGCAGUUAACACAAUAAGUAUUCCGCCUGGGGAGUACGGCCGCAAGGUUGAAACUCAAAUGAAUUGACGGGG